GAUGAAGAACGUAGCGAAAUGCGAUAAUUAAUGUGAAUUGCAGAAUUUAGUGAAUCAUCGAAUCUUUGAACGCACAUUGCGCCCCUUGGUAUUCCGGGGGGCAUGCCUGUUCGAGCGUCAUUAUAACCCCUCAAGCUCAGCUUGGUGUUGGGGCCUGCUGCACUGGCAGCCCUUAAAAUCAGUGGCGGCGCCAUCUGGCUCUAAGCGUAGUAAUUCUUCUCGCUAUGGAGUCCUGGUGGAUGCUUGCCAUCAACCCCCAAUUUUUCUAUGGUUGACCUCGGAUCAGGUAGGGAUACCCGCUGAACUUAAGCAUAUCAAUAAACGGAGGA
rnacentral:misc_RNA from 1 species